UCAUUACCAUUAACUAUUAGAAGGAACUCGCGAUGGUUGGUCCUUCCUAUAUCAAGAAGUAUUGUUACUUUGUACUCAAGUCAGUUUAGUGAAAGAGGUUUGUCAAAGUUACAUGAUUUGGAAAAGGAUUGAUGUUCUUUUUCUUGUAGUGAAUGAAUGUGACCCGGAGCAGCUAGUCUGUCACUGCUGCUACGAACUUUUUCCCCGCAACCUCUGCGUCAGAUGUAUUCCAUGCAGGGAAAAGAAAACUCUGGAUCACUUCUUACCUGGAGCAAUAAUUGGGUUGGGAGGCCGGAUCAAAUAUUUGCAUUCCAGGACAGAGAGCAUCUUCCUUUUCUUUGUCUCCACCAGCCAGCGAAGCAAAUUUUCUUUAGGACCUCCAGGCUCCAAUCAGAAAUCUUUGCUCCAAUCCAAAGAAAAAGCAUGCUGGCACCUCCGAAGAUGUUCGCAAUCAGCCGAGAGAAUCAGACCUUCUGUACAGAUGAUUGCAUCGGCUGUGGUAUGCUUUCUUCAUUGGCCGCCGACGAGAAGCCAAGUGCAACCGCAACCGCAAAAUGCACAUGUUCAGUAAACCUUGGUCUGGAGAGUAUAGAGAUAUGUUGGUUGUUGGAUAUUUUUAUGGUUCUGGUGUGAAAACUUCCAUGCUAUCAACUAUGUCAUGGUUGGGAGACAGAACACUAGGGGUAUAAUAGUCUCAAAUGAGGUGGCUAACCCUCCGCAUUUUAUUUGUUAUCCUCCCCUGCCUGCUGUCUGCUAAAAGAAGUGUCUUGAUUCAUGACACGAUGAUUGGGAGAUGCAAUGGCAUCCUCAUAGUGCCCAUGUGCCAGUGGAUACUGUUCUGAUUAAACAAGCGGAAUCGAUGAUUAUCGUUGAUUGAACGUUUUAUAAUCAAAUGGUGAUCUGUACAACCCUGCUUUUC